rnacentral:lncRNA from 1 species
UCCUUAUAAGAAUCAAAUAGCUUAUUAUUUUUUCUUCACAAAAUAUGUGUGAGUAUUAUUUAUUACUUAUACCAGGGCUUAACAAAAGCCAAACUUUGGUAUCGUUUGUGUGUGAGAGUAGUGGAAAUAUAAUUUGAGGGUAGUGGAGAGGUGUAUGAGAGUGGUGGGCACAAAAAUGAAAAAUAAUAAUAAAUAUAAAUAAAAAAUGAAAAAUAAUAAUAAAAUAAAUAAAAACGCUUCUUUUCUCUUUUUCACACUUUCUCUCUUUCACAUUUUAAAACUUUAGGUUUUGACAUCAUUUCU